CGGAGGGUGCGAGCGUUGUUCGGAAUUAUUGGGCGUAAAGCGCGCGCAGGCGGCUUUUCAAGUCCACGGGUGAAAUGCCGGGGCUCAACCCCGCGCACGCCCAGGGUACUGGGAAGCUGGAGACACGUAGAGGCAAGCGGAAUUACCGGGUGUAGCGGUGGAAUGCGUAGAGAUCCGGAAGAACACCGGAGGCGAAGGCGGCUUGCUGGGCGUGAUCUGACGCUGAGGCGCGAAAGCGUGGGGAGCGAACAGGAUUAGAUACCCUGGUAGUCCACGCCGUAAACGAUGGGCACUGGAUGCGGGGGGGAUCGGCCCUCUCCGUGUCGCAGCUUACGCGUUAAGUGCCCCGCCUGGGGAGUACGGCCGCAAGGCUG
rnacentral:rRNA from 1 species